CAGGGCUGGGUCUCCCACAGUAUGGUCUGGGGGCUGCAGAGCUGCAUAGCAUCAUCCAUCACAGGAAUGUCCUCCUAACAGGAGUCAUUUUGCCUGCUGGUCACAUGGUUGGAAGCCCAUCAAACAUUCUGUCCCACACCAGAGAAGAAGGAGGUAGAGAAUGCUCAUAAACACUGCUGAUCUACAAAGAUUUUCAGAAGACCAUAAAUCACCCUAAAUAGCCCAAGCCUGUGGGAGUCCUUUUCCUUGGCUUGGAAUCUUCCAAGGCAACUCAUGAAAUCUGAUGAUGUGGAGACAGAACAAAAACACAGCCCCGUCAUCCUCCCCAGGAGUCUUGGAAAACAUCCCACUGACCAGAGACAGCCCUGAAGACUCGAAUCCCAACCUCCUGGUUUGCAAUGAGCAGCCUGGCCCAGAUUCCCAGCUGUUGGACCUUGAGUAUCUGCCCUACUACAGAACAUCCCCCGUCUGUCUCUGCCCAGCAUCUCACAUCUGCGCAGAAAGAGAAAAAAGCUCCAAUGAAGGAAAGGCUAGCACUAAGCAGAAUGAGAAAAGCAUCCUGCCAAGUGUGGAGCAGAUCAAGAGGACAAUUUCUUCUACAAGCAAGGAAGAGCCCCCAGCCCAGCAGCUCCUGGGGGCCAGCAGCUCUGCACUCUGCCUGCCCCUGGCCUCCCUCCCCAGUGAGCUCCCACACCUGAACCAGCCCCUUCCCUCCAGUGGGUACUUUCCUUAUUACAGGACAGAGGCAGGCAUUGGCCCAGCUCCAAGAAAAGGGUCCUUCACCAGGACAGAAGGUCUGGAGACCAAAGAGGGAGGACAAAGGGGAGGACCGAAUGUUUGGAAUCUCUGUGGCAGCUGCUUGGUGUCCUGAGAAGAAAGCAGCGGGUUUGUGAAUGCAGACGUGAAGGAGAAACUCUUGAAGCCUAUGACAAUAUGAAAAUCUGCAUGAAUUUGAAUAAAAUAAAAAUAUUCAUUCUCUCAAACAAAACAACAAGUGAAAUCCCAGACUGCAUUAUGAAAGCAGAAAGAAGCAGAACAGGAACUGGGGAAAUAAAUAAUAAACUUUCUCUAGAGGUGAGGAAGAGAACUGUGCUUCUCUGUAGCUAAUACCAAAGGCAAGACACUCACUCGAGGGAUGCGCAGCUAUGGGAAGUGGCCAAUAGGAAAAAAAAGAGAAUUAUUUAAACCUAAGAUGCUUGGAGGAAUUAAACAGAGACAGAAUUUCCAAUUGGGAUUGGGAAAUACAUUUCCUUUCCUCCUCACUACAAUCCUUCCAUUGUAUUACUGGCAUCUGUUAGACCUGGUUACUGUGCACAACAGCCAUACACAGGAGAAAAAAACCCCCAUUUUUAUUUAAAUUCUUUGUCAAUAUGAUUUUUUGAGCACGUUUCCAUUAUGUCUGUCUUCAUUUCACUUGCACAGUCAGUAAUGAAAAUACUCUUGAUUACUUUAAUAUGUGCAACUAGGAGCUUCUAUAAACAUCAGUUUGAUGCUGGAAAACUGGGAAAUAGCAUCCAGAAAUAUUUUGGCAUUGGUGAAUCUUGACUGAUUUACACCAGAUGAGAAUCUAACCAAAAAGGGUCAGCUCAGUAUUUUCUUUGCAGUUGUGAAAUCUUGCAACAUCCUCUCCUUACUGCCAACUAUGUCACCUCCUCGAGACACCACACGACUCAAUGAAACACGGCUUUUUCCCAUCCCUGCACUGUGCACAGACCAAUUCUGCUCAAAAUAGAUGUGUUUACUCCAACCACUUAGUAAAUCUUCAAGUGUUUCUGUAAUGAUUACACAUUGGUAUGACAGUGUAUUGACAGGCUGUGUCUAAAUGUACCAGUGUUACCUAUUUUAAGGAUUGAAGAAGAAAAACACAUCACAUUUCACUGUUUCACAUCUCCAUAGGUAGACCAGUUUUCCCUGUGGUAAGUGUGACACUGAGACCAGGAACGCUACAGCCAUGCAAGGUACAUUAUGGUUUUAGUAAUAAUUUCUGCUUACACCACACUUUGGUGGGUUUUGACCAGUUGGGAAGGGAUUUUGGUUGGAUGCUGGAAACCAGCAGAGCUCCCAGAUGGGAGCUUUGAUCCCAGUCUUUCUUAUAGGCACUGCUGAGGAUGAAGUGGUGCCUCACCCCCAGGUUUGUAAAAAAUAUGUUAAAAAACCUGGAGUCAGCCAGACUGGUGAAAAUUAAUCCCAGUGCCCUCACACAGCUGCCCCAGCUGGAAUCAGGAAUGCAAGUCGAGCAACCAGCAUGCCUUCGGCAUCCCUGCAUUCCCAAGGGCACCUCAGUACCAUCCUGCCACCUUCCCACUGAAAAACAAGGUAAAUCAGAUUCCAGAUGAACUAAGUCACACUGUAUGAAACAGCCCCUGGUUUUAAGCACAAAGAAGGCUGACGCCUUGGGUACGUUGAAAGAAAGCCAUGCUAAAUAGAGUGAGAUUAUCAAAACUCAAGGGAUCAGGCAGAGGAGGGAAGGAAUUCUGUCUGAAAAGCAGGUGUGGAUUAUUCUGAGAAUAUUAAAUUCAGGAUUUCCAUAAAUUUGGCAUAUUUAAAUACUUUGAACUAUGUAGUAUCAAAUCCACAAAUCUGCCUGAUUUUUACUAGAUAGAAAGCCAGCUUUCUAUUGGCUGUACUUGAUAAUUUAUGGCAAUAGUGAACAUCAGAAAUCAAGGAUUUGGGAGAUGAGAAUAUUACAAGCUUUAUGCUUAUGGAUCAGAGAAGCCGAAUUUUAAUCAAAAGCUGGCAAAUAUCAUAUCAUAUGUUGCCAUCUUGAAACUGGAGCUGAGCAAAACUCAUGAUUCUAAUGUAUUUUCCAUACAGUCUUGCUCAGAGGUAAAAAGGAAAGGAUGGAGGGCAGUGCUGGGAGCUUCUGUGUUUCUCUCUAGGUUUAUGCUACUUUAUUACUUUUCCACAUAGUUAACAUCCUGUACACAGGCAGCAAACGAUUUUUCUCAAACUGCUCCAUGGAUCAGAUUCCUGCCUCAGUGAGGACAUCAUGUGCCUUCACCCCAAGAGUGGUCCCAGUCACACAGUUUGGUUCAUCCUUGUGUACUGAUAAUGUAUUUCCUUUCAUCUCUCUAUUUGAAAAAUUCAUAAUUACUGCCCUAAACCUUCAGUACUUAAACACUCACAGUCCUCUGGAGUUUGAAAAACAAUCCCCAAUUACUUUGAUGCAUGCUGUGUCAUCUUCAUUGAUCCCAUUUAAGCUUUUAAUCUCAUGAAUUCACAAAGUUAAUUCAUAAAACAAACCAAACAAACCAUGGCAAAAUAUGCCCUUUAAUAAAAAAA